rnacentral:rRNA from 1 species
AACGAACGCUGGCGGCAGGCUUAACACAUGCAAGUCGAGCGCCCCGCAAGGGAAGCGGCAGACGGGUGAGUAACGCGUGGGAAUCUACCGUGCCCUACGGAAUAGCUCCGGGAAACUGGAAUUAAUACCGUAUAUGCCCUACGGGGGAAAGAUUUAUCGGGGUAUGAUGAGCCCGCGUUGGAUUAGCUAGUUGGUGGGGUAAAGGCCUACCAAGGCGACGAUCCAUAGCUGGUCUGAGAGGAUGAUCAGCCACAUUGGGAUUGCGACACGGCCCAAACUCCUACGGGAGGCUGCAGUGGGGAAUAUUGGAAAAAUGGCGCAAGCCUGAUCCAGCCAUGCCGCUUGAUUGAUGAAGUUCUUAGGAUUGUAAAGCUCUUUCACCGGUGAAGAUAAUGACGGUAACCGGAGAAGAAGCCCCGGCUCACUUCGUGCCAGCCGCCGCAGUAAAAC